ensembl:lncRNA
AGCCCCUGUGCACGACUCAGUGUGUUGGUGUGUGUUUCAUGAUGUCCCUGCAGAUAUGCAAAACCAGUACACUGUGAGACUAGGUUUGUUUAGGUCACUGAAUGUGACACAACUUUAGUAUUUUCCCUCUGACAGGGCGCGUCCUGAAUGAAGACGUGGACGAUGAUGAGAGGAGACCCAUCUCAGUUGCUUCUCUGAGAGAGCCGACGGUGGAGUACUAUGAUGAUGUGACUGCUGAUGAUAAUGAGACCAACCUCGAUGAUAUCUUGAUAGAUGUACAAGGCUUACUGUUUGGUUCAGGAGAGAAGGAGACAGACAAGCAGCCAGAGACGUACGAUGAUGUCGAUGGUGACACCAUUGUGGAGAAGUCAUGUGACGUGACGGACUACGUCCUAGAGAACACAGGAUAUGAUGAUGUGGGAGACAGUGUUGAGGGACUCAUCUCAGAGUCUGUGAGAGAGGAGGGGCUGGAGUAUUAUGAUGACAUCAUCACUGAUGAGAUCGACCCUAAAAUGACCAAGGCAAUGGAAGAGAGAAAGCCUGCCAAUGGAGAAGAAGUGGAGUAUUAUGAUGACAUCACAAAUGAGGAGAAUUACCUUAAAUUGACAGCAGGGGUGAUGGCAGCAGACCAACUUCAGGGGAAUGAUAGUGUCGUCACCGGGAUUGAUUAUGAUGAUGUGGGGGUGGAGUCUGAGGAGUGACACUGGACAUGAAGAGGUCAGCAGAGGACUCCCAUCAGCUGUGGUGGACUAGAGCUCUGAGUUUAUCAUUGAGAGAUGCCAGACACUGGCACUCUGAGAUUCUUCUGAAUGAAGAGUGCAUUACAAAUAAAAUGAAUUAUUAUUAUUAUUAUUAGACAUAUUUGAUAGGGC